rnacentral:rRNA from 1 species
UGGGUAACCUGCCCAAGAGAUCGGGAUAACACCUGGAAACAGAUGCUAAUACCGGAUAACAACAGAUGAUGCCUAUCAACUGUUUAAAAGAUGGUUCUGCUAUCACUCUUGGAUGGACCUGCGGUGCAUUAGCUAGUUGGUAGGGUAACGGCCUACCAAGGCGAUGAUGCAUAGCCGAGUUGAGAGACUGAUCGGCCACAUUGGGACCGAGACACGGCCCAAACUCCUACGGGAGGCAGCAGGG